CUACCAGUUUUCGAUUACAGAUGACUUAAUCUAACAACCACCAUCCAGAAGGGUCCUGUCCUGUACCCGGGAGGAAGAAAUGCUACACAGAGAAGCCAAGAUGAAUCUGAACAGACAGCCUUUGUCAGUUCCACAGAUUCCAUAAAAGUUAACUCCAGAGCAGAGAAUGAUGCCACAGUCGGGAUAACAUCCAAUAUUUGCAAUCAGAAGAAAUAUGAGAGUCUUGCUCCAUCACCCAGGCUGCAGUGCAGUGGCACGAUCUUGGCUCACUGCAAGCUCCACCUCCCGGGUUCACGCCAUUCUCCUGCCUCAGCCUCCCAAGUAGCUGGGACUACAGGCGCCCACCACCACGCCCAGCUAAAUUUUUUUGUAUUUUUAGUAGAGAUGGGGUUUCACUGUGUUAGCCAGGAUGGUCUCGAUUUCCUGACCUCGUGAUCUGCCUGCCUCGGCCUCCCAAAGUGCUGGGAUUACAGGCGUGAGCCACUGUGCCCGGCCGUAAUUAUUCUUUUCGUGUUAAGCAAUGGUAAAAGAACUGACUGAAAAUAAGAAUAUUAAAAAGUUUCUCUGCUAAAAACAGAAAAUUAUGUUUGUUACCAUUCCUACUAUAACCCCAGUGAUAUGGCUCCGAUGAGUGGAGGAACACCAGGGUUCUUGGUCUUCAUGCCAGUUUAGAUAAAACAACACAGACAUACGUGGAGUGGUUUUAAGGAGCAGACAGUUUAAUAGGCAAGAAGAAAAGAGAAGGCAGAAGGAAAAGGCUCCCCGAUACAAAGACAGAGGGAGGGGGCCUCCAAAGCCAAAAGAGGAAAUCCCAAGUGCAGUGGAUACCAGCCAGGUAUAUGUAGAGGCUGGAGGAGGUGGUGUCUGAUUUGCAUAGGGCUCAGGGGAUUGGUUUGACCAGGCCUGUAAUUCACGGGGCCUGAAAAAGCUGGCCCUCCCACCCUAGCAUUUAAUAUGCAAAUGCAGGGCGCCACGAUGUUCUACAAAUGGUGGGUAUAUGUGGGAGCGGCCAUGUUGCCAGGAACAUGUGGGGCAAGGGCAAGAAGGCCACGGGAAUCACCAUGUUUGGGUAGACGCAGUUUCUAAUGGCUUGCAUUUGCCUAUCAAAGGUUGCCAGCCGCUCUAAGAGCCAGGGCAUUCCAAUUCUGGAGCUGCUUUAAAAAUGAAAACUUCCCAAGGAUCCCUUUUCUUUUCUAUCUGCCUAAAAUAAUUUCUUAAUAACUCCUACAACACAAUGAUUUUCAGUGAAACAAAAGCUGCUGUUUUAUUUUUGUUAAAUUGUUUUUCUUAGCUAAAGAGAUAAAAGUGAGGAUGAGGGAUUCAAAAUGUGGUUUACUUUAUAGAGCUUGCAAAACUCACAGCAUUUAAAGCAGUUUUUAACAGGAGUAUGGGGAUAGGGCUUGAAUGAACUUGGAAAUGCCAUUCAAUUGCUAAAAUCAUAUGCAUCACAUUGUGUUCGUCUGCACAUACGUGCACUUUUCUGGUAAGAAGUUUCAAACUUACAACAAAUUUUCAAAAGAGGUCUAUACUUUUGAAAGUAUAAGAAAUCACUUAGUUUACUGACUUUCCUUAUUUCAGGCCACAUCCAAAAGUACAAAACAGCACAUUUACAUUUUGUAUUUCACAUUUUUUUCAAUACUUACCUUGGGAGCCAUAGGCCCUGCUAAAGUUUUGCUGAAAAAUCAUGGACAUGAUGCAGAUUAAUUAAGAGGAGAAAAGGCAUAUAGAUUUAUUUAACAUGUAUACACAGGAGCAUUCAAAAUGAAGACCCAGCUUCUCCAUGAGUUACAGAAACUUAUAUACCAUCUUGAGUUUGCAGAACGAAUGGGGGCUUGCAUCCUGGUAAGACAGGAUAUAGGAAGAAGGAGAAGAGAAAUUCUAUUGAGGGGCAAUAAAUGACUGUGAAGGAGAAUGAUUGGAUCAGGGAACAGAGAUUAACUUUGUAAAUAGUUUUCUUUGAAAUUUAAAUGAUCCUUGGAGACAAUCAUUGUUCUUAUUAAAAGGUCUGUUCAGGUAUUGGUCACAUCUUGGCCUUCUUUUCUGCAAUAGAUAAUGAGAUAACAGAGAUGGGAAGAAAACACAAUAGUUCUCAUUGGUAGGUCUGGAUCCUAAGCAGAUAAAGGAACUUCAGUUUAUUUGGGAGAGACAGUGGUGGUGAGAGGCCAAAGAGAUCUUCAGGCUUCUUCAGCUCAGCAUGUCAAAAUGCCAUAUUUUGGUAUAUGAAUUUCUGAGCCCCAACAUUCUCCCAUCUGAAACUUCCCUAGGAGUUUCACAAACUAAAAGCUGAGUUAGUGGCUGUGGAAGAGAAAAGUUAAGCUAAAAUAUGAAUGGCAAAUAAUUCUAUUUAACCAAUCUGUGAAUAGGUCAAUUAAACACCUCUUUCAUUUUAGGAGAUAGCAUUGCAGAUGGGCUUUCAAACAGAAGAAAAACAGGUUAAUUUUGGAAACAGUCUAUAAACCAGUUUCCUUACAGUCUGCAGGGCAGUCAGUUGAGGUGUCCAGAUGUUAGACUCAAAGCCCAGUUAAAGAGGAAGCCAGCAAUGGCAAUCUGACAAGAUUUUUUUUGCCUGUUUCAAAAAGUUUAAGCUUUAGCUUAUAGGGCCUCAGGAAAAAGGUAGUAGCAAUUCCAUUGAGUCCAAGUAAGAAAAAUCCUUUUGAAUUUUUUAUUACCAGAUUUUAGUGAGGAUAAACAGCUGAUAUUUCUGGCUUUUAAACAUUUUUUUUUUUAACCAAUGACAUCCUCCCAAGUACCAUAAUCGAGGUUAUAACUUAAGCAUAAGGUGUCUUCAAAGAGGUGGCAAACACUUUUUACAAGAUAUAAAAUUACCCCAAAGAUAGCUCAAAGAAAGGAAAAUUUUGGUAGCCAUAAAUGGAGUGUGACUCACAUUUCUGUUUGGCCAGUCUCUGGAGUCUCAGCUGCUCAGCUCAUUUUCUACAUACAGAAGCCAAAAUGCCUCAUAUGCCCCCACAGAUGAAAGACAGGAAAUCAAAAUCUGUCCAUGGAAGGGAAAAUAAUCAAUAAAUUUUGGGAAGGUAACACAAACGUCAAUCCAGAAAGCACUAAGUCCCUUGCCAGAAGUUUAAUCCAGGCUGCUGUGGUAAAAGGGCAGACCUUGGCUACUAGGUUACAACAUGAGGUGGUCUUUAUUGUUCUUCCCAGAAGAAAUCCAGAGCAGACAGUUUCAAUUUGCAAAGGAUUUUAACUUUGUUUUAGGUCAGAUUUUUUUUUCUCUUUUAAUUUAGUCAGAGAAUUCUCAAGGCUAACUGUGACACCAUUAUGUGUCCUUUUAAAAUGUAUUUUCCCAUUAAUUCUUUCCAAUUAAAAAAAAUCUCUAAAAUCUUUUAAAAUUUAUCUUUUGGCCACUGACAAUUAGAAUUUUCAAUGACAUACUUAAUUCCAAUAGUGACUUUAUCCAAAAGCCUCUUCAUGUAAAGCCCAGGUGGUAAUUUUCCAGGUUUUUACCAUGUAAGCAACAGUUGUUCCCGGAGAGGGUGUAGAGGAGGCGAUCCCCAUGAUCUCCACAAAUUCAUUCUCGGAAAUAGACUCAACAUAGCAAAGAUGACAAAAACCCCAUAGGGUUGGGACUUUUUAAGACAAAACUCACCUAAAAGCUUCAUACAUUCAGAAUGAAGAGUGUGCUGCUUAAAAUAUUACAUGCCUCGGUUUGCAAUCUUUCAGACUGGCUGCCUAAUGUGAACCUGAAAAAUCACACCCUUUGGAUGAUGGAGACUAAGAGAGGACCCCCACUUAGUCAGUCAUGCUCUCAAGGACAUAAGACAGGAUAAAAGGAAAACCUCAUCUGUAUUACAGGGACCCAUAGCAAAGUUUGUUUUAAUAGACACCCAUCUAGCCAGAACCACCAAACCAGCCAAUCUUCAGGGCUGGCUGAAACAAUGGGCUUAUAGGGGUUCUAGGCCUAUGUUCUACACUAUGGUACCCAUCUUCACGACAGAACAACACAGAAAGACAAAGACAAAGGAAAAUGGCAACAACAACAACAACAACAAAUCACCUAUUUCUGAGAGGAAAGGGGGGGUCGAAGAAUGUGAAUAUUCAUACCUCACAGUACUGAAAGUACACUGGAGUCACUAUAACCCAAGACUCAUCACACAAAUCCUUUUUUCUCAUUAAUAAAAUCAUUGCAGAUGAGACAAACAAUGAUUUUUUCCCAUCCACUCAACUGGAAUGCAAAGAGAGAGAGAGGUCAGGAGACUGGCUGGUAAGAAAUUCUUAUCCCUUUGCUGGCAGGUCAGGUUCCUGGGUUCUCUUUACUGCAGCUUAUAGAAGAGAAGAGCAGCUUUGAUUACCCUGCUCACUGCACUAUACUGUGGUGGCCAUAGGCUCUUGGUCCCUUGAAGUUUCACUGAAAAAAAAAUCACUGACAUGAAGCAGAUAAAUUAAUAGGGGAAAAGGCAUGUAAAUCUAUUUAGCAUGUAUACACAGGAGCCUUCAGAAUGAAGACCCAACUUCUUCAUGAGUUACAGAAACUUGAGGUUACAAAAGAAUGGGGGCUCGCAUCCUGGUAAAACAGGUUAUGGGAACGGUGGAGGGGGAAGAGGAAUUUUACUGAUGGGCAAUAAAUGAUUGCAAGGGAGAAUGACUGGAUUGGGGAACAGAGAUUAACUGAUCUGUAGAGACAGUAAUUAUCCUCAUAAAAAGGUCUGUGCAGGUAUGGUCACAGCUUCUUUUCUGCAGUAGAUAAUGAGAUAAUGGGGAGGGAAAGAAAAAGACAAAUUAUUCUCCUUGGUGGGUCUGGAUUUUAGGCAGAUAAAGGAACUUCAGCUUCUUUGGGUGAGAUCAUGUGGAGAUUAGGUCAGAGAGACCUUGAAGCUUCUUCAGCUUAGCAUGUCAAAACAUCAUAUUUUGGGGUAACAAUUUCUGAGCCCAACAUUAUUAUGUCAACCCCUCCAGGAAACUGCAAUUGAGCAGAAUAGAUAGUAAUGAUACUAAGGUUAUAAGGGUGUUAAAAGAUAACAUUUUUUAAGGGUAAAAGCAUUCUUCUCAAAAAAUAUAAAACACAUGAAGAUUCUAUUAAAUUCAUUAAUUAAUAAUGGAAUCAAAUGUUAGAACCAGUUCAGAGUAGUUCUUUUUAAUGACACAAAUGUAGGGAAUAAGGAAUGCUAAAACAAAAUUUUAAAUAAAGACAGAAGUGAUCUAUCUACAGGACAAUAACCAACUGCAUUCCACAAGGACCCAAUUUGUUUGUAUUUCAACUGAAAAGAAUCAUUCACAUUAUUAUGAGUUUUAAAUCCUUCAAAAACAAUGACAAGCACAGAGAUUGCAGAUGGGUACACUAUAAAGGCUGCCAGCGAUCUCCCCCUCCCUCAUUUCGAAUCUGUCACAAUUUUUCUGACAUGCAUUUGCAGAGAAAUUGUGAUGAAGUUUUUUUCUGUCACACAAAAGGCAAGCAUCCAAUUUGACUGAGGGAGUCAAAGGUAGUCCCCACAGAAGUGGUAUUUAAAUGAAUGUUGAAUGAAUGUGCAUUAAGUAAAGAAUAUCUAUGGGGACUUAACAUUUGAAAGGUUCUGGGGCAUCUGAAAAAACAGAGCAAAGCUGUUGGAUGACAAUGGAAUGCUAAUUUAGAGUCGUGUUUGGAAGAACUGAGGUCCCAGUGGUGGAAUUUGAGUUUAUGAUUUCCCAAAGUACGCCUCCUAGAGGAGGAAGUAUACAUCAGUGCUUGAUGGCUUUGAGAGAGUCUUGAGAGUGUAGCCUGCAGCUUCUCAAUGAAAAAUGUCAAAUUUAUCUGCAAUCAUGUUUUAUCUUAAAAUUUCGCUUGGUUUUUAAUAUAACAAUCUAUGAGAUUACAACUUAUUGAGUAAAAUUUAUUGUGCUUAGUACAUGAGAGGAAAGAAGUAUAUAUUGGUUUUGAAUUUUGGCUGAACUGACAUUCCACAAAGUCAUCCCAGGCUCUUAGCCAGACUCUCUGGGUACACUCACUUUGUCUCCGGAGAUAUGCAAGCUCCUCAAAUUAAGGUGCAAAACAUGCAUUGACUACAGGUUACUAAAAGCUUUUAUUGGUCAGUGAAGUCACACGGUUAGUUUUAUUAUGUUUGGGGAAAAUUACUGCCAAUUCCAUGAAAGAAGAUUUGACCCAGCACCAGUGGGAAGCAGUGAUCAGAAAAUGGGCUGCCGAAACAGGCUUGGACUGAGGGUGUGAAUGGGAAGAAAAACGCUAUCUUACAGAGGUAAUUAAAAUGUUCUGACCAAUUAUCUACAGGCGAGAAAAGAGAAGGGUCAGGUAUAACAUUUCUGGUUGUAUUCCUGCAGACAGUUUGCUGGUAGAACUGGAGUUAGCAACUAUGCCACUGAUAGAAACAGGAGACAGCCAAGGGUCCCCGGAGAAACCCUGCCUUCAAGCCUAAAACGCCCUGCAGGCUGAAAAACCAGCUGCUGGUCCUGGAUGAAACCCACAACCCAGAGGGAGAACUGCCCCUGUUUGCCCGCCCUUUCCCAGCCGAUUCUUUCAGAAUAAGGCCCACAUGCGCACCGGGGAAACGGGGUCGAGCCACAGAAAGUUGCGCCUUGUUCAAUGGGGAGGAGUCUGGUCUCUUCAGUUUUCCUGUGCGUGGCCUGGAAUCAAUCUGUGAGGUGGGGGCCUAUUGGCAGGAUCCCCUCUCGCUUUCUUGAGAGUUUUUUUCUUUUUUUCCUUUUUGCCCAGUAAAUUCUGUUCCCCACACCCUUCAAUGUGUCCACGUGCCUAAAUUUUCCAGUUCUUGAUAUAAGAACCUGGAUUUAGCUGAACUAAGGAGCAAAAAUUCUCCUUAGAAUUUUUGGAAGGUUGGUGUAAAGUUAACAGUUGCAGCCACCUGACGGUUUCUAAAUCCCAGGUUUCUUGUAUUACCCAUUGCUCUUUUUCUCUAGCCUUUUAAAGCAGACCUGUAAGAGACCAGGCCAGCUUUAGCAUUUCUUUUGUCUUUUAAUCUGUAAGUUUUGUGCUUGAGCAGGAAGCAGACAGGUUACCUUUUUAAGACACUAAAGGAGAUGAGAUGAAAUUAUUUGUAUGAUCAAAAUGCAUAUUUAGAAUGUGCAUCUGUAAGUUUUCCAUGAUUAAGUUCUUGGGAAAAAAUUUUCAUUUUCCUACUUGGGAUUAAAGAAAAUUCAUCAUAAUAGCGUAGUUAGAAGAGUGAAUGUGAGGAUGCAAAGCCAAGCAAUAUUUAAAUUUACCAAUCUAAGAAGAAAUCUUUAAUCUGGCAUUAUGGCCAAUGAAUCUCAUGUAAAAUUUUCUUCCAGAUGCCCACACAGCUUAACUUUUAGAAACACAACACAGGAUAUUUCAGAGAUAAGCUGUGAUGAGUUCAGGACACGCUACCCCCAAAAUAUGACACAGUGGCAUAUGUAAUAUUUUAGGUGGAAGGAAUUUGAGAAAUAUCAUGAGUGGGAAGUGUCUUCUGACCUUCCCAUGAAGCAGAUCAUAACAACCUCAUGUGAAAGGUGCCCUCCCUAUACCCAGAUGAAAGGAGCAGCCUUCUCUCUGAAGACACAGGGACACAGACAAGAACUGAAUGAAGGGAUUUUGCUCAGUUUUCCCCAGUUUACUCAUACCCUUUAUGCUAUCACAUUUUCCCAUAACUUUCCACUUUUCAUUAAACCUAGAAUAAAAACUCUCAGGUUAAACUGUUUCUUUGCGUCUUCAUUUCCUUAUGAAAACUCCCAUGUCACAUAAAACUUAAAUAAAUGUGCAUGCUUUUCUCUUGUUAAUCUCUUUUGUUACAGGAGUACCAGCCAAUGCACGUUAAGAUGAGUAGAAGGAAAAGAUGUUUUUCCUCCUCUAUAGCUACAUAGUCACAAACAAGGCUGUACCUGUAUAAGGUUUCUUUGGAUAGCAGUGAGUAAAACCUACGCGGAGAGGUUCUAUGCCGAAGGAAUUUUGCUUACUGGAGGACCAGAAACACACGCGCGCGCGCGCGCACACACACACACACACACACACGGGCAGGGGACAAGGGCGUGGCAAAGGGCUCAGAGUGAUUAGGGAACAUGAGCCUUAUGGAAACCAAAGGAUCCUGGAAAGCAGUAAUAGUCAUUGCUGACAUUCAUUAAUAGCUUAUUAUGAGUGUGUGUGUGCAACACACACACACACACAGAGAAAGAGAGAGAGAUUGAUUCUGCUUUUUCUGGAACUAGAGCUAGAAAUGUGGUUUAGGAGGGUUAGGAUACAAAUCCUAUUCCUUUGGGAUUGCAUCCUUCAAAGGGUGUAUGAGGAGAAUUAUCAUUUCUUUAAUAGUGCUUGGCCCUAAACUUUCCCACAAGUCUGGUCAUGGAAAGCUUUCCCAAGGAGUUCUGCUUUGAGUAUUUAUAUCCGUCUGACUUCUAGGAAAAAGCCAAGAAAUAGACAGAGAGACAAAGAAUACCCUAAAGACACUUAGAGAUGUACCAGAUUGUAAUGUUGCAAAUUUCUUAGGACAAUAUCAUAUAUCAGAAGAGAGUGGGUUUACUUGGAUAGGAGUCAGAAAUUUGGGGAAAUAAUGGCUGUGUUAGCAAAUGCGCCUUCACCCUACCAAGAAGGCUUGUUUUUCUUAGCACACAGUGGAUUUAAAGUUACAGCCUGAGUGGAUAUUCCCAGCUCAGUUGAUUUCUCAUGAGCCACAUAUAUUCACAUGCCCCAGACAAGAUUAUUUCCAGUUUUCAGCACUCGUAGUUCUGGGAAGGGAGAGCUAAAUUAUGUGAGAGCACUCUCAGUGGGGGGACACAUAGAGAGAGUUGUUCUAGCAGCAAUAAAACUAGGGCAAUAAGGGGAAUUGAAGGUUAGGCAAGUCUGAGGCCUCAGACAUGGUGUUCAAUCAAUUAUAACAGAAGGACCUGCAUUGAUUCCAGCUGAAAUCUUAAGUAGGUAGCAGCUAGAUUAGCCUCAACAGAGAAAACAAUUAUUUUGGGGGCUACCUGUGGAGAUGAACUCCCUAAAAAGCUCUAAUUUUUAGAAAAUAUUUCUUAUCGUUUCAACAAACAUUAUGAAGUAUAUUCUGGACACUGGGAAUAGAAAAGUGAGU
rnacentral:lncRNA from 1 species